rnacentral:rRNA from 1 species
CCUACGGGAGGCAGCAGUGGGGGAUAUUGCACAAUGGGGGGAACCCUGAUGCAGCGACGCCGCGUGGGUGAAGGAGUGCUUCGGCAUGUAAAGCCCUAUCGGCAGGGAAGAAGCAAGACGGUACCUGACUAAGAAGCCCCGGCUAACUACGUGCCAGCAGCCGCGGUAAUACGUAGGGGGCGAGCGUUAUCCGGAUUCACUGGGUGUAAAGGGAGCGUAGACGGCCAUGCAAGCCAGGGGUGAAAGCCCGGGGCCCAACCCCGGUACUGCCCUUGGAACUGUGCGGCUAGAGUGCGGGAGGGGCAGGCGGAAUUCCUGGUGUAGCGGUGAAAUGCGUAGAUAUCAGGAGGAACACCGGCGGCGAAGGCGGCCUGCUGGACUGCGACUGACGUUGAGGCUCGAAAGCGUGGGGAGCGAACAGGAUUAGAUACCCCUGUAGUC